UACGUAGGGUGCAAGCGUUGUCCGGAAUUAUUGGGCGUAAAGAGCGCGUAGGCGGUCCGAUAAGUCGGCUGUGAAAGUCCAGGGCUCAACCCUGGAAAGCCGGCCGAUACUGUCGGACUAGAGUCCGGAAGAGGCAAGUGGAAUUCCCGGUGUAGCGGUGAAAUGCGCAGAUAUCGAGGAAGACAUCAUAGCGAAGCUGCUGGGCGUACACAAU
rnacentral:rRNA from 1 species